rnacentral:rRNA from 1 species
AUACGUAGGGUGCGAGCGUUGUCCGGAAUUACUGGGCGUAAAGAGCUCGUAGGUGGUUUGUCGCGUCGUCUGUGAAAUUCCGGGGCUUAACUCCGGGCGUGCAGGCGAUACGGGCAUAACUUGAGUACUGUAGGGAGACUGGAAUUCCUGGUGUAGCGGUGAAAUGCGCAGAUAUCAGGAGGAACACCGGUGGCGAAGGCGGGUCUCUGGGCAGUAACGGACGCUGAGGAGCGAAAGCAUGGGUAGCGAACAGGAUUAGAUACCCUGGUAGUCCAUGCCGUAAACGGUGGGCGCUAGGUGUAGGGGUCUUCCACGACUUCUGUGCCGUAGCUAACGCAUUAAGCGCCCCGCCUGGGGAGUACGGCCGCAAGGCUAAAACUUAAAGGAAUUGACGGGG